AAAAACUAGUAUAAGACAAAAACUGAUGUUUCUUAAGGACUUGAAAAUAACCUAAAAUGAAAAUAAAGCAUUAGGGCAGGAGAACUUACUAAGAUCUUUCUAUUAACAUCAAGCAUUACUUUUUAAGGAGCAAAGUACACCACCAGGUGAAUUUUUUAAGUUCUAUGAGAGUCACC